GCUCAGAUGGAAUGGAGGCUGCUGAGGAAUAGGAGUUAGUAUUGUAGUUAAAAAUAACAACUUGUCAUUUUUGCUGCUUUUCCCUCUUGGAUAGGAAAAUGACUGUCAUUCCAAAGGGACUAUGUUGGUAAUGUUCUAUACACAAGUACUUCUCUGUAUUUUAAAAAUCCAGGCUG